UUGGACAGUUUUCCCUGGCGUCGCUUUAGUCAUAUGCGUUUCCAUGUGCAGCGGGGUUAAAGGGCUCGGCGCCCUUCCUGACUCUGCGCUUCGCCCUGGUGUUUGAAAGCAGCGGCGGGGGGCAGCGAGGGGAAAAGGAAGACAUUAGUACACAACGAGAAGCUGAAACCAAAAGACGAGCCCGCGCUGCAUGUUCCCACUUCUCGGCAACUGUGAGUCACAGGCGUAAAAGACAUGUGCGACUUGUCCCUGGAACGCUUCAGACUUGGUGUAGCUGCUCCCACUUGCUGCAGUGUCACCUGCUGGCGAGAUCAAAGUACUCGGUAGCACGCUCCCCCGCGCCACGCUAAACAAAGUCACCGAAGCCCUUGAAACCUCCUACAGAUGUUUCCUCUCUGAAGACAAAAGGAUAUUUUUCUCCCCUCCCUUCCUCCUUCACACCAAAGAACAAAUCCUAUGCCUCGCUGAGUUUGUACCACCUCAGAUUAAUUGGCACUAAUGCAAAUGUUCGUGGCUGCGUGGGGGAUGCUGCUGAGAGCAUAAUGGUUGUCGUAUUUGCUUGCAUGUGGUUACUCCACUUCAGCUGUGUAAUUCAUUGCUUUAUAAAGUGCUUUACAAUGCACUACAGCACAGGAAGCUAAUCGUAUGCCGUGGCAGACAAUACAGCAGAGAUUCAGAGAGUUACUGCAGGUCUCCUAAGCCCCGUGCCCUAAAGUCCCCAGUGUUUUUUCAUCAAAAGUCCCCCCUCGAGUUUUUGGAAGUUCUCCUCCACCUCACCUCGGGGUAGCAUUCUCUCCCUGCUUCCACGUAUUCCCUCACCUGCUGAGGAGCUGCAUGUGACAGUAUAUGAGCAAUUCUCCUGAUGACAUCCAGUCUUCCCUGCUGUACUCCAGACUCAGGAUCGUGCAGUGAUUUAGCAUCUUUGUUUCUAAGCUUAGCUUAGGAAAGAUUAAACUGUUCUUAGCAUGCA